UACAGAGGGGGCAAGCGUUGUUCGGAAUUACUGGGCGUAAAGGGCGCGUAGGCGGCCUGCUAAGUCGAACGUGAAAUCCCUGGGCUCAACCCAGGAACUGCGUCCGAUACUGGUUGGCUUGAAUCCGGGAGAGGGAUGUGGAAUUCCAGGUGUAGCGGUGAAAUGCGUAGAUAUCUGGAAGAACACCGGUGGCGAAGGCGACAUCCUGGACCGGUAUUGACGCUGAGGCGCGAAAGCCAGGGGAGCAAACGGG
rnacentral:rRNA from 1 species